rnacentral:tmRNA from 1 species
GGGGUUGUAAAGGUUUCGACAGGUUGUUGUUUGAUUCGGGAUGCAGUGGAGUUGUGACCAUAUCACUACCUAAAUUUAAACGCUAACAGAAACAAUAGUUUCGCAUUCGCUGCCUAAUUGCGCUUAAGACGCUGCAGCGACCCGGUCAGGGUUUAGCCGUUAUCGCCUGACUGCGUAACUGAAACGGAUAAGGUGAAUCCGAUGCCUGUAGGAGGAUCCCGACAAUUGACAGGCAGAUUCAGCUGACGGUUCGCUCACUGUCAUAUCAGCUGUCUUAUCCAACAGUGGGAUAAACUGUAGAUUCCUGAAUGUGGGACGCUUCUUGGACAGGGGUUCGACUCCCCUCAGCUCCACU